UACACAUUUUAGGUUUCCUUAUUUUAGAUUUAAUUGAGUAAUUUAUUUAUAAAAAAAAGAAGAAAAGAAAAGGGAAAUGAGGAGUGGGCGUGUGACCUAGUGGGAAUGGAAUAUUUCCUUAAAAUGGUAAAAAAAAAAUCAAGACUUAAAGACCAUGAUCAUUUGGGGAUAGGCAUGAUCAUAUCUUAUCCCUUUGUAUCUUUUUGAAAUAAAGAAAAAUCAAGGAAAAUAAAAGAGAAAUGGAAACUUACCUUAAUAUUGUUUGGGGAGACUUUAUGAGAGGAUUUGUGAUAAAGGGGCUAAGAAAGGAGAGAAGAGCCAUUGCUCUUGUGUGUGUGUGUGGCUGCCGUGACCUAGAGAGAGAGAGAGAGAGAGUGGCGUGUAGAGAGAGAGAGAGAGAGAGAGAGAGAGAGAGAGGAAGAAAGAAAGAAAGGAAGAAGGAAGAAGAAAGUGAAGAGGAACCCCCCUAGAGCUUGAACAAGGGUGUGGAGUUUGUGGUAUUGAUCUUUUGUGUUCUUGAUUCUACAAUCAAGAGAGGCUCGUUGAAAAGAUUGUGAAAUUCUUAGCUUGGACCUGAGGUAAGGAAGUUAGAUAGAUUUUAUGAUUUUAUGCUAUGAAUGGUAAGACUGUUAUAUGAAUGAACUGUUAUGAAAUUAUGAAUGCCUUAAUGUGAUGAUCUGUUGAAUGUGAUAUGUGUAUGGAUGUUAGAUACAUCAAACAGAAUGUGAUGUUAGAUACAUCAAACAGAUUUCGAUGUCAGAUACAUCGAACGAGUUACUAAGGACAUUGAGACGUGACUCCUAGGGCGGACGCGCCGAGGUUAUUCAAGGACCAGUGAUCUCCUGUUUACCUCAUAGGGUGACAUGGACAACUAGCGUUCCAUGC